rnacentral:rRNA from 1 species
AGUGAACGCUGGCGGUAUGCCUAACACAUGCAAGUCGAACGGCAACACAGUAAGAGCUUGCUCUUACGGUUGGCGAGGGGCGGAUGGGUGAGGAAUACAUCGGAAUCUACUUUUUCGUGGGGGAUAACGUAGGGAAACUUACGCUAAUACCGCAUACGACCUACGGGUGAAAUCAGGGGAUCUUCCGACCUUGGGUGAUUGAAUGAGCCGAUGUCGGAUUAGCUAGUUGGCGGGGUAAAGGCCCACCAAGGCGACGAUCCGUAGCUGGUCUGAGAGGAUGAUCAGCCACACUGGAACUGAGACACGGUCCAGACUCCUACGGGAGGCAGCAGUGGGGAAUAUUGGACAAUGGGCGCAAGCCUGCUCCAGCCAUGCCGCGUGGGUGAAGAAGGCCUUCGGGUUGUAAAGCCCUUUUGUUGGGAAAGACAAGCAGCAGGUUAAUACACGCCUGUUCUGACGGUACCCAAAGAAUAAGCACCGGCUAACUUCGUG